rnacentral:misc_RNA from 1 species
CCAACAUGAGACAAGCCUUAUUUCACAUCUUGAAGGAAGGCGACAUGAGGAUGCUUGCAAGAACUAUAAAGUCAAGAACCAAAUUAGAAAAUCUUUAUGGUGUGCCAUCUGUAAUAUAAGCUGCAGUAGUGAAGGAAACAUGCAAGCUCACCUUGAGGGGAACAUGCACUUGACUAGAACUCAAGAGCUCAUUAGCGUUGGAAGCAAGCCGGAAAAUUGAUUGAUGACACCAAAACAUGGGAACUAUGUAUUGUGCAGGAAGAGAUGGGCAAGAAUUUGUUGGAUC